rnacentral:rRNA from 1 species
GAACGCUGGCGGCGUGCCUAAUACAUGCAAGUCGAGCGAACGGACGAGAAGCUUGCUUCUCUGAUGUUAGCGGCGGACGGGUGAGUAACACGUGGAUAACCUACCUAUAAGACUGGGAUAACUUCGGGAAACCGGAGCUAAUACCGGAUAAUAUUUUGAACCGCAUGGUUCAAAGGUGAAAGACGGUCUUGCUGUCACUUAUAGAUGGAUCCGCGCUGCAUUAGCUAGUUGGUAAGGUAACGGCUUACCAAGGCAACGAUGCAUAGCCGACCUGAGAGGGUGAUCGGCCACACUGGAUCUGAGACACGGUCCAGACUCCUACGGGAGGCAGCAGUAGGGAAUCUUCCGCAAUGGGCGAAAGCCUGACGGAGCAACGCCGCGUGAGUGAUGAAGGUCUUCGGAUCGUAAAACUCUGUUAUUAGGGAAGAACAUAUGUGUAAGUAACUGUGCACAUCUUGACGGUACCUAAUCAGAAAGCCACGGCUAACUACGUG